rnacentral:misc_RNA from 1 species
CACCACUCAAGCCUCGCUUGGUGUUGGGCGUUUUUGUCCCCCUAACAAGGGACUCGCCUUAAAAGGAUUGGCAGCCGGCCUACUGGUUUCGCAGCGCAGCACAUUUUUGCGCUUGCAAUCAGCAAAAGAGGACGGCAAUCCAUCAAGACUCCUUCUCAC